rnacentral:rRNA from 1 species
UACAGAGGGUGCAAACGUUGUUCGGAAUUACUGGGCGUAAAGCGCGUGUAGGCUGUUUCGAAAGUCGGAUGUGAAAGCCCUGGGCUCAACCUAGGAAGUGCAUUCGAAACUUCGAGACUCGAGUCCUGGAGAGGAUCGCGGAAUUCUCGGUGUAGAGGUGAAAUUCGUAGAUAUCGAGAGGAACACCGGUGGCGAAGGCGGCGAUCUGGACAGUGACUGACGCUGAGACGCGAAAGCGUGGGGAGCAAACAGGG